GAUGAACGCUGGCGGCGUGCUUAACACAUGCCAGUCGAACGGUGAACCCGGAGCUUGCUCUGUGGGAUCAGUGGCGAACGGGUGAGUAACACGUGAGCAACCUGCCCCUGACUCUGGGAUAAGCGCUGGAAACGGCGUCUAAUACUGGAUAUGUGACGUGACCGCAUGGUCUGCGUUUGGAAAGAUUUUUCGGUUGGGGAUGGGCUCUCGGCCUAUCAGCUUGUUGGUGAGGUAAUGGCUCACCAAGGCGUCGACGGGUAGCCGGCCUGAGAGGGUGACCGGCCACACUGGGACUGAGACACGGCCCAGACUCCUACGGGAGGCAGCAGUGGGGAAUAUUGCACAAUGGGCGCAAGCCUGAUGCAGCAACGCCGCGUGAGGGAUGACGGCCUUCGGGUUGUAAACCUCUUUUAGCAGGGAAGAAGCGAAAGUGACGGUACCUGCAGAAAAAGCGCCGGCUAACUACGUG
rnacentral:rRNA from 1 species